CAGUAGCCACGGUAACACGGAGGGGGCUAGUGUUGUUCGGAAUUACUGGGCGUAAAGCGCACGUAGGCGGCUUGGUAAGUUAGAGGUGAAAGCCCGGUGCUCAACUCCGGAAUUGCCUUUAAGACUGCCGAGCUAGUAGGUGAGAGAGGUAAGUGGAAUUCCGAGUGUAGAGGUGAAAUUCAUAGAUAUUCGGAAGAACACCAGUGGCGAAGGCGGCUUACUGGCUCAUUCUAGACGCUGAGGUGCGAAAGCGUGGGGAGCAAACAGGAUUAGAUACCCCAGUAGUCCCUGUCUCUUAUAC
rnacentral:rRNA from 1 species